UACGGAGGGUGCAAGCGUUAUCCGGAUUCACUGGGUUUAAAGGGUGCGUAGGUGGGUUGAUAAGUCAGUGGUGAAAUCCCCGAGCUUAACUUGGGAACUGCCAUUGAUACUAUUGAUCUUGAAUACCGUGGAGGUCAGCGGAAUAUGUCAUGUAGCGGUGAAAUGCUUAGAUAUGACAUAGAACACCAAUUGCGAAAGGCAGCUGGCUACGCGAAUAUUGACACUGAUGCACGAAAGCGUGGGGAUCAAACAGG
rnacentral:rRNA from 1 species